rnacentral:rRNA from 1 species
UACAGGGGGCUCAAGCGUUAAUCGGAAUCACUGGGCUUAAAGGGUGCGCAGGCGGAUGCGCAAGCGUCUCGUGAAAUCCCUCGGCUCAACCGGGGAAUUGCGGGGCGAACUGCGUGUCUUGAGGCAGAUAGAGGCCGUCGGAACGCUAGGUGGAGCGGUGAAAUGCGUAGAGAUCUAGCGGAACGCCAAAGGUGAAGACAGGCGGCUGGGUCUGUCCUGACGCUCAGGCACGAAAGCGUGGGGAGCAAACGGG